rnacentral:rRNA from 1 species
CAAGAUGGCAUCAUGAGUUCACAUGUUCACAUGAUUAAAGGUAUUCCGGUAGACGAUGGGGAUGCGUUCCAUUAGAUAGUAGGCGGGGUAACGGCCCACCUAGUCUUCGAUGGAUAGGGGUUCUGAGAGGAAGGUCCCCCACAUUGGAACUGAGACACGGUCCAAACUCCUACGGGAGGCAGCAGUGAGGAAUAUUGGUCAAUGGGCGAGAGCCUGAACCAGCCAAGUAGCGUGAAGGAUGACUGCCCUAUGGGUUGUAAACUUCUUUUAUAAAGGAAUAAAGUCGGGUAUGCAUACCCGUUUGCAUGUACUUUAUGAAUAAGGAUCGGCUAACUCCGUGCCAGCAGCCGCGGUAAUACGGAGGAUCCGAGCGUUAUCCGGAUUUAUUGGGUUUAAAGGGAGCGUAGAUGGAUGUUUAAGUCAGUUGUGAAAGUUUGCGGCUCAACCGUAAAAUUGCAGUUGAUACUGGAUAUCUUGAGUGCAGUUGAGGCAGGCGGAAUUCGUGGUGUAGCGGUGAAAUGCUUAGAUAUCACGAAGAACUCCGAUUGCGAAGGCAGCCUGCUAAGCUGCAACUGACAUUGAGGCUCGAAAGUGUGGGUAUCAAACAGGAUUAGAUACCCUGGUAGUCCACACGGU